AUGCUCACCUGCCUCGCCGCCCUGCUGACUCCGGCGAGGACGUGCCUCCCCUCUGCCGCUUCCACUGCCUCCUGCCAUGGCCUCCUCCUCGCCUCGAAGCUCCGCGCCCUGGGCGUCUUCCUCGCGCACCUUGCCAUGGUCUUGUGCCCCUCGAACCAGCAGGACGAUGCCCUGCCUUGCCGCCGUUCGCCUCCGGCGAGCAUCCGCAGAAGCUCAUCCACCUCGCCAUGCUCCUGCUUCCUCCCCAGCGCUGCCCCUGCCCGAGUCAAGUGCCACCAGUUGCUAGCUUCGAUCCGUUGCAUCCUUCCUGAAUGGAACCGCCAAGAGCCCUUUUCGGCGAGACCAAGCCCGCAAGUUCCACGGAUCUGCAAAGUACCUCUACGCACGUUUACGCCAAGAUCAUCUCGGAAAACGCCAAAUACCCCUACGCGCGAAGACGCCUAA
rnacentral:rRNA from 1 species